rnacentral:rRNA from 1 species
UACGGGGGGGGCAAGCGUUGUUCGGAAUUACUGGGCGUAAAGGGCUCGUAGGCGGCCAACUAAGUCAGACGUGAAAUCCCCAGGCUCAACCUGGGAACUGCGUCUGAUACUGGAUGGCUUGAAUCCGGGAGGGGGAUGCAGAAUUCCAGGUGUAGCGGUGAAAUGCGUAGAUAUCUGGAGGAAUACCGGUGGCGAAGGCGGCAUCCUGGACCGGCAUUGACGCUGAGGAGCGAAAGCCAGGGGAGCAAACGGG